GACCAUGAUUAUCGGGGAUCCUUAGUUGGGUUUUUAAGGAUAAUAAGUGAUUUAAUUAAAUGAAAAGAAAAGAAAAUACAGAUUACCGAUCCUUGACUAAGGUGUUUUGUAACCGAUUAUUAGAAGGGUUUUCCACCCACCUGUCAGCACAUGAGGCAAAGUAAAAUGUUUUUGUAUUUUCUUUUCUCACAUUUUUUUUUUGUGACGAUUGUCUUCUGCUAAUCGUCUUCUCGGCUUCUCCGUCUCUGACGAUCGACGACUCUGUACAUGAUGUCUUUCUUCGAACCGGACGGAACCGUAGUUCCCGUAACUGUCGUCGGGUUCCGCGAAGGCAACAUCAGGGACCACGAUUGGGAAAGGGUUUCAGGGAGGGAUCAAGAGGCAUAAUUUCAAGAGAGGGCAGAUGACUCAUGGGUCAAAGAGUCAUAGUGGAUGCCUUGCGCAUAACAAGGCUGUUCAUUUGACAACAAGGGAAGUGCAUUGCUUAAGCUCCAUUCUAGUGUCUCCUCCUCUCGUGUCUCUUGACUUGCCUGAAAGUUGGGCUCUUGACACUGAUACGCCAUCCUCUGUUCUCUUUGGUAACUCUCUCCCUUCUUGUUUGUUCCAUCUUGUAGUUAUUGCUAUAGCCAUGGAUUGGAUACUGUUUCCACUGAUUAGAAAGCCGUAGUUGAUUAUAAGGGAUGGAGCUUGUACUUCUCAAUCUUAAAUCCAUCAUUUUGGCGCUUUUGCUGGUGAAGACAACGAAGAGUCAGACAAAUUGAGAAAAGCCAGGUAACUGCUACAAAGAGGCCAAAGAAUAGUGCUUUAGAAGUUGAUUUAGAUUUUGAACACAAUGCCAGGCCUCCUCCUAUAAUCACAGAAGAGGUCACAGCCUCACUUGAGGAUAUGAUCAAGAGCCGAAUCAUUGAGUGAGUUUCAGCUUUGACGCGCGUGCCCUAAAACGACGUCGGAAGGCGGAAACUUACCAGCAACGACCAGAAAUAACGGGGAGGUUUCUGUAAUAAGAUUAAAUAAUGAGGGUAGUUUGGGAAAUAAAGGACUUUGUCGACACCUCAUUAUAAUACCCGCGAAGAUAGAUUAAUCUGGACCGCCAAAAUGAGCUUGCGUCCCACGCUUACAGGUUGUUCAUGAUAUAGCAAAGAAUCAUCUAUCUUAUUAUUUGACUUGUGUAUAAUAAUGUUUCUUUUAGACUAAAAAUUAUCAAGACCUAACGUGUUGUUAAAAUGUGAAACUUGUUUGGAAGGUUUGAUAUUCAAUUAAAAAUGUUGAUCCAGAAAUUUCCUUCAGCCAAAAAAAAAAGUCUUAACCAAUAUGAAUAAACAAUUGAUCAUCUAAAUGUUGCACGAUGACGGUCGGUAUUUGAUGGCCCAUGAUUAGCUAAAAAGCCUAUAUAUAUAUCUGAUAACUGGUGAAUUGCUUGGAAUCUAUUGGGCUCAAUAGGUUUCUUUUCUCGUUUGAUCAUUAUGGUAUUGCCUUCUUAAGAUUGAGAUUGUAAAACAAAAGGUUGACGAAAUCAAUACAGAACAAAAUAAACAUAUAGAGUGAAAUGAUGAUCACUAAGCAAUAUAAAAUAUCAUAAUUGUAGAGUUGAUAUAUUUCUUUGAUUAUCAUGAUUUUGGUGAAGAUUAGUAACCAAAACAUAUAUAUAAUAAUUACCUACAUACGAUAUAUAUGAUGAUUACACCACCAAUCUUUUUGUAAUUAGAUUUGGAUUUCGUUCAUUGUUGGAUUUAGUUCAUUGUUCAAGAACCUUUCCCAACAAUGACCAAAAUCCAAACCUAAUGACAGAAAGAUUCUUAAGAAGAACCCUAAGAUGAUGAAGAAAGAUGAAAUUUCAACAAUAGUUUAAAUCUUUCUUCUGCGACUUUCUUCUACUUAUAGUGUUUCACCGAUCAUUAUUCUUCUGCCAUUUUCUUUUUGGUAAAAAUAUAAAGAUAUUAUUACCAAGAUUUUACGUUUUUGACAGAAAUUACAAAGAUAUUCUUCUCCCACUUGAUUGGUCUUCUCAUCUUCUUUGUAACUGAACAACAAAAUUUGUAACGAUCUUCUGAACAGCUCUUUACUCUCUUUUCCUGUAACGGAAAUUUGAUCUGGAGGACGAACUGAGGCCACUUAUCUCAUCUUAAAGUCGUUUUUCUUCAAAAGAACAAACACUCGUCUUAUACUUUUGUCUAUCUUGUUUCAGGUACGUUUAUUAGAAGUAGACCCUUGUCUUGUUUGUUAUCAUUUUGCAAGUGCGC